AUAACCCUGCGUUGUUCGAUCUGUAGCAUAUUACUCUUUGAGCCAACAAAUUGUUAAUGGGAACUCGGACUUCGAAACCGGAUUGGAUUCUUAAAAAGUGAACAUGAAGGUUAGAGAGAGUACCCACUUAUUGAGACAAUGACCAAAGAGAUGCUACGAACGGCAAAUGCGGGGUUUUU
rnacentral:other from 1 species